rnacentral:piRNA from 1 species
AUAUGGUGACCUCCCGGGAGCGG